rnacentral:rRNA from 1 species
AUUGAACGCUGGCGGCAUGCCUUACACAUGCAAGUCGAACGGCAGCGGGCCUUCGGGUGCCGGCGAGUGGCGAACGGGUGAGUAAUGCAUCGGAACGUGCCAUUGAGUGGGGGAUAACGUAGCGAAAGUUACGCUAAUACCGCAUAUUCUGUGAGCAGGAAAGCAGGGGACCGCAAGGCCUUGCGCUCUUUGAGCGGCCGAUGUCAGAUUAGCUAGUUGGUGAGGUAAAGGCUUACCAAGGCGACGAUCUGUAGCGGGUCUGAGAGGAUGAUCCGCCACACUGGAACUGAGACACGGUCCAGACUCCUACGGGAGGCAGCAGUGGGGAAUUUUGGACAAUGGGCGCAAGCCUGAUCCAGCCAAUGCCGCGUGAGUGAAG